AUUCAAGUAGUUUAAUUUAAAAUUUUGGCUUGUGGUGCUAGAGAUAUAAAUAAUUAUUUAUUUUGAAUA
rnacentral:tRNA from 1 species